GACCUGAUGGCACAGUGGUUAGUGCGUCUGCAUUCAGUACUUCCACCGGAAGACGUUUAUGCAGAAGAUCCCCGUUCGACUCGGGGUCAGGUCG